rnacentral:rRNA from 1 species
AUGAGCUGCAGCGUCGUCGAUGCCAGGGCGUGGUCGCAUCGCGGCCGCCUCGCCUGCCUCGUCUACCUGCGGGACGAGGAUGUGGCCGCCGCCGGUGUGGAGCGCAUCGAGGCCCGCCUCGCCCCCCUCCUCCGCGAGACUCGGAAGCCAGCGGCGGCGCCGUGGCUGCCGUCCCCGCCGGCUCCAUCCCGCACGCCGACCGGCGUCUCCACCAGCUCAUGUAUGCCAGCGGCGACCAGGAGCGCGCAUUCCCAGCUCCCUCGGUGUCUGUCAAGAGCUAGGCCGAGCGCGGGUACUCGGUGUUCAACGUCCAUUCCACAAUCAUCUCUUGUACAGUGGCUGAGGAAGAUCCAGGAAAGCAAGAGCUGCGCAAGAGGGGGCAGGAUCAGGAAGAAGCACGGUGAUGGAACCUUAGCAGUAGACCAAAUGCAGACAUGA